AUUGGUUAAGAUAUUGCAUCGU
rnacentral:miRNA from 3 species